AUUGCACGCUGGCGGCAGGCCUAACCCAUGCAAGUCGACCGAGUGGCGGACGGGUGAGUAAUGUCUGGGAAAAUGACUGCUGGAGGGGGAUAACUACUGGAAACGGUAGCUAAUACCGCAUACCAUCGGAUGUGCCCAGAUGUGAUUAGCUAGUAUGUGGGGUAAAGGCGCACCUAGGCGACGAUCCCUAGCUUGUCUGAGAGGUGGACCAGCCACCCUGGAACUCAGACACGGUCCAGACGCCUACGGGAGGCAGCAGUGGGGAACAUGGCGCAAGGUGCUCAAGCCGGAAGCAGCCAUGACGCGGGUAUGAAGAAGGCCUUCGGGUUGUAAAGUACUUUCAGCAGGAAGGCGUCACCAGCAGAAGAAGCACCGGCUAACCCCGUGCCAGCAGCCGCGGUAAUAC
rnacentral:rRNA from 1 species